rnacentral:lncRNA from 1 species
UGAUUAAUUGAUUUUAUUAGAAAAAAAUUAUACUAUUAACUUUAAUAUAAUUUAUUAUAAAUAUAAUAUUAAUUUCAUAAAAAAUUAGUAAUUUAUUUUAAAUUUUAUAAAUUUUAUAAUUUUGAGCUCACUAAAUAUAAAUUAUGGCAAUUUUGAUCUUACAAAAAAUUAGUAAUUUAUCAUAAAUUUUAUAAAUUUUACAAUUUUAACUCCGUUAAACAAAGUU